UUCCUACUCCCUCCGUUCGGAAUUACUUGUCGUAGAAAUGGAUGUAUCUAGAUGUAUUUUAGUUCUAGGUACAUCCAUUUCCGAGACAAGUAAUUCCGAACGGAGGGAGUAGUAG
rnacentral:pre_miRNA from 1 species